GACAAGCAAAAUCCAUGUGAAUGACACAAAUAGCACUUAAAUCAAAUGGAGUUAAGAGAACCAUAUUCUCACAUUCUUUACCUUGGUUCUCAUAACACUCUCUCUCGGUUGCGAAUUUGCACAUGGAAGAACUGUUCAUCAUCAUCGCCCACUACCUGCAAGAAAAAUUAACCAGUGUCAAUAUGUAAUAAAGAUAAGCACAAUUUAAAUUUACCUAGAGGUAGAAUUUUUGUUCCCACAUCAGAGGGAUUC
rnacentral:lncRNA from 1 species